CGGGCAAUAGCGCAGCUGGUUAGCGUACUAGUCUGGGGGACUAGGGGUCCCGGGUUCGAAUCUCGGUUGCCCGAACA
rnacentral:tRNA from 1 species